UCUCUGGUGUGAGAAACUGAAAAUGUAAAUAAGGGUUAAAAUGAUUAAAAUGAAUAAUUGAUAAUUUGAAAUAGGAAAAAAGGUAUAAAGAGGUAGGGGUGAAAGGAGGGGAAGGGGAAAGGGAAAAGGGAAGGAAAAAUUAUGAGAAAAGAAAAAAAUGGAAAUGAAAUCUAUGUAGAUAGAGAACAGUGGAGGGGGUGAAGAGUGCACAGGGAAUGGGGAAAAAAUAAGAACCAAGAUACAUCAUGUACAGGUACAAGCACCCGAUGAUAAAUGUAAAUGUACUGUAUACCUAAAACGUACCAAUAAAAGAAUUUAAGAAUAAAAAUAAAAUAAAAUUUAAAAAUAAUAUGCUUUUCCUAACAGACUGCUCCCUCUUCCUGUGAAGUAGAUAUGUAUAUUGCAUGAACCUGUAGUUAUUCAAGAUUAGGAUUAAGGAUAGACAAGGUACAGUAGUUAGUUACCUUAAAAUAUCCACUCCUAAGCAGUAUUAUUUUUUAAAUCCUUUCACCCUGUCUAUCUCCCUGUCCAUGGCCUCCUCUCCUCCAGUUGGGAGGCACUCCACCACAAGCUCUUCACAUGCAAGGCAAUGUGCCAUGCCUUGAGCCUUCACCAUCAUGUCCAUGCACUGUGUACAGAUGCCAAAACUCUUAAGGUGCAAUGUUGAACUCUUAAAUAGUAGCCAUGACAUCAAUCAGCCCCAAACUGGUACGCAAUGCAUAGUACAAGGAAUAUGUUUGCAUUGGGGGGGGAAUUUUGUCAUAUUUCUUAAAAUGCAUCAUGUUCCACAGCAAAGUUUGGAAUCUAAUAUCAAGGCACUCCCUGUUCAAGACUGAACAAAAUGACUUUGGGCCAUGGAAAUUAUAGGAGAUAUCAAAGGAUGCCCCUCUAGGAAUUCUCUCUCCUGGAGCAUCCCAGAGGUCUUUGGAGGGAAGAAGUCCUCAAGCCCCCUCUGUCCUUUCUUCCUGAGCUAGCCUCAACUGGGAGAAAGACCUAGUGCCCUGAUAGAGGUGGGGCAUACACUCCUGGAGCAAAAAGACACUGCUGAACUUGUAACCCAACAUCACAUCAGUGCGGUAAGAAGGAACCAAAGCCUGGCACAGUGGCAGGUGCCUGUGUCCCAGCUAACCCAGACUCUGAGACAGGAUUACUCAAGCCCACAGCUGCAAGACUGGCCUGGGCAACAUAGCAAAAUCCUAUCUCAAAUAAAAUAAAAUAAAAUAAAAUAAACUCAAGAAGAAACCCAGAGCUCUGGUGUGCUGCCUCCUAGCCCAACCCAAUACAGAAAGGGGUAGAGGCUCAACAAAACACCUAUCAGGGGCCAGGGAUUUAGCUCAGUGGUUCCACUGCCUGCCUCGCAAGCACAAGGUCCCCAGUUCGAUCCCCAGUACCAAAAAAAAAAAAAAAAAAGACACCUAUCAGCUGGAAACAGCUCUCUGAGUUUCUCCACAGAGCACUGCAGGGAGUAGUUUCUCCAUUCUCUUAAUCUCUCCUCUCUCUUCCACUCCACUUACUCUCUCUACCAAACAAAUAUUUGGGAAAAUGACUCUGCUAAUCCCAAUCAGUCUAACACACCCUGGCCUCAGGCCUGGCACUGUGUGUGUGUGUGUGUGUGUGUGUGUGUGCGCGCGCGAUCCCCAAUGGAUGCAGCCUGCCAGUCUGAGCCUUCACCAGAGCUGCAAAAAAAAAAAGAGGAAGCCAGUGUGCAUGGCCUGUAUGUGUGUUAAAGCCAUUGGGUGCUCACUCUGUACCUGAGCUUCAAGAAGAAACUGAACAACCCUACCAUGGAGAACAUGGAGGGGGAGUCAGACUUGCAGACAAGGAGCCAAGAUAUUACUCUGCAGCACAAGAUGGGCGGGCUUACCAGUGUUCGAAGAGGCCCGGAGUCCAAUUUGGCAUGUCUUCCACCAAAAUGUUCAGGAUCUGAACUACCACAUGUAACAGGUGAGUGUGAAGUGUAGUGGGAGACCUGGAGAGGACUGAUUUCCAGUUGGCUGAGAGAGUAGAAGAGAGAACUGAACAGAGGAAUGUGACCUGCGCAGACUCAGUGCCCACAAGGUGUAGGGACCAGAGGGUGUGAAGACUGUAAGUUCCACAGCUGAAAUGUGGAGGAAGUACUAACAAGCACACUUGGUCCUUUUCAGACCGACUGACCCACAAGCACCGGGCUGCAGACCUCACCUUGUGAAAGGGCAGGAAGCUAAGGAGUGUUUCAGCAGCGACCUCCCCUCCAAGAAUGGGGACUGCAGGACCUGGCUCGGUGGCAGCAGUGGCGCAGGAUGAGCGGAGCGAUGUCGGGAAGACUCUGCCGGUCUCUCGGCAUCACGAACCGGCCGCCUUCUGCUGCUACUGCGGAUUCCCCCACGGAAACUGCUCGCUUCAUCUGGGCCGAGUGAACUGCUGGCGCCGGCUGUCCGUGCCUCCGGCGCCGCACGGGGCCAGUCUUCGGGGAGGCUCGGCAGCUCUUCCGCGGGUCCCUGGCAUGGCAUGCACAGGCGACAGGCAGGAGGUGCAGUUGGCUCCAGAGAUGUAUCUGAGAGUCCCUGGAAGGCCAGGACAGCAGAGGCCAUGAGCUCCGCUAGGCUCAGGACCCUGUUCUCUGGAGGUGGGGUCACCCUGGGCCCUGUGUCACCGCAAUGCUACAGAGAAAUAGUGGUCCUAGGCCCAAGUGCGCUGCCAGACAGGAUCCUGAUCUCUCCAAGAAGCAGGAUCUGCCCAGCCUGCUUACAGGAGUUGAGAAGUAAACCAAAGCAGACGCGCAUCCGGGAGCACCAGCCUCACUCUCCUCAGGCUAAACCGAAGCACGGACAAGACUCUGUCCUCCCCCUAAGUCUCCUCCAGUCCCAAGCCCAUUGCUUCUUCCCCAGAGGAUGGAGCAGUCCUAGAGGCAGUCAUGGGGGCAGUCACCUGUUUUCCCAGCCUUCCAGUGCCCUACUGCCACGUGGACUCGCAAUUUGUGGAGACAGACUAAUUCCAGCCCCUCCUAGUGUGGGCGGCUGGAGGCACCCCAUGUCCAUUGGAGUUAGGGGUUUGUUCCUAGAAAUAACAGCCAGAAAUCAAUACCUGGUAGAUCAGGACUCCUCUUUUUGCCAC
rnacentral:lncRNA from 1 species